rnacentral:rRNA from 1 species
UAACGAUGAAGAGUUUGAUCCUGGCUCAGGAUGAACGCUAGCGGCAGGCCUAACACAUGCAAGUCGAGGGAGGAGCUUUCGGGCUUCGACCGGCGUACGGGUGCGUAACGCGUAUACAAUCUGCCUUUCACAUAGGGAUAGCCCGAAGAAAUUUGGAUUAAUACCUAAUGGUAUAUAGGGGUGGCAUCACCUUUAUAUUAAAGCUGAGGCGGUGAAAGAUGAGUAUGCGUUCUAUUAGCUAGUUGGAGAGGUAACGGCUCCCCAAGGCUACGAUAGAUAGGGGUUCUGAGAGGGAUAUCCCCCACACUGGUACUGAGAUACGGACCAGACUCCUACGGGAGGCAGCAGUGAGGAAUAUUGGACAAUGGUCGGAAGACUGAUCCAGCCAUGCCGCGUGCAGGAAGACGGCCUUAUGGGUUGUAAACUGCUUUUGCAGGGGAAGAAUAAGGAGUACGUGUACUUUGAUGACGGUACUCUGCGAAUAAGCAUCGGCUAACUCCGUGCCAGCAGCCGCGGUAAUACGGAGGAUGCGAGCGUUAUCCGGAAUCAUUGGGUUUAAAGGGUCCGUAGGCGGGCUAAUAAGUCAGAGGUGAAAGCGCUCAGCUCAACUGAGCAACUGCCUUUGAAACUGUUAGUCUUGAAUGGUUGUGAAGUAGUUGGAAUGUGUAGUGUAGCGGUGAAAUGCUUAGAUAUUACACAGAACACCGAUAGCGAAGGCAUAUUACUAACAAUUAAUUGACGCUGAUGGACGAAAGCGUGG